rnacentral:rRNA from 1 species
UUUGCUCCUCACGCUUUCGUGCCUCAGCGUCAAUCAUCCUGUAGUAAGCUGCCUUCGCUAUCGGUGUUCUAUGUCAUAUCUAAGCAUUUCACCGCUACAUGACAUAUUCCGCUUACCUCCAGGAUAUUCAAGACAAAUAGUAUCAACGGCAGUUUCUGAGUUAAGCCCAGAGAUUUCACCACUGACUUACCUGUCCGCCUACGCACCCUUUAAACCCAGUGAAUCCGGAUAACGCUUGCACCCUCCGUAUUACCGCGGCUGCUGGCACGGAGUUAGCCGGUGCUUAUUCAUCUGGUACCGUCAACCACAGAAGAAUCCAUGGGUUUCUUCCCAGAUAAAAGAAGUUUACAAUCCAGAGGACCUUCAUCCUCCACGCGGCAUGGCUGGUUCAGACUUUCGUCCAUUGACCAAUAUUCCUUACUGCUGCCUCCCGUAGGAGUCGGGCCCGUGUCUCAGUGCCCGUGUGACUGGUCGUGCUCUCACACCAGUUACUGAUCGUAGGCUUGGUGGGCCAUUACCCCGCCAACUACCUAAUCAGCCGCACACCCAUCUUCAAGCGCAAUAAAGCUAUAAUAAUAGAGUGAUGCCACUCCAAUAUGUUACGGGGUAUUAAUCCGGGUUUCCCCGGGCUAUCCCCCACUCGAAGGAAGGUUGUGUACGUGUUCCGCACCCGUUUGCCGGUCGCCAGCAACUGUAUUGCUACAGCCCUGCUGCCCCACGACUUGCAUGUAUUAAGCCUGCCGCUAGCGUUCAUCCUGAGCCAGGAUCAAACUC